rnacentral:rRNA from 1 species
AGGUGCGAUCAUACCAGUGUUAAUGCAUCGGAUCCCAUCAGAACUCCCCAGUUAAGCGCGCUUGGGGUAGAGUAGUACUGGGAUGGGUGACCUCCCGGGAAGUCGUAGUGUUGCACCCU